GAUUCGCCUUGCGUUUCUUCUUCAUGGUCGAUCUUUUCUAACCGGGGGGAUCGUCCGUGGAAGUGCAGUAAACGGAGCAAUCGGAUGGACGAAGGAACGGAGAGCGGCGCGAGCGCGUUCGAGGCCGACGAAAACAAGGAUCCCGAGGCGACCGGUGUACCCCUCGCUGUUUUUGCUUCGUUGGGUUGACGUUGCGACAAAAAGAAGGAAAAGAAAAGAAAAGAAAAAGAAGGGGAUGGGCGACAAGAAGGGAGAGGCGUUGGGACUUGCCUGCUCCGGUUCCCCGGCUACCGUCGUUCGAUCCGAUGAUACGUAUCUCUCGACGAGUUGUGCGUGUAUACACGAAUACACGUCUCUUCCGUUCCGUGUACGUAUAAUACGUACGUGCGUGUCGACGAGGGAUUACACAAACGCAGGCCGCGUAUGUAUGUAUAUAUAUAUAUGUUUAUAUACAUAUAUAUUAAACGUACGUAUAAACGAGCGAAGAAACGCGGUCUCGUAGCAAGGCGCAAGAUAUACAUUAGUGCGUAUGAGAGACGUAGUAAGUGGCUGCGUACAGGAUACAUAAGACUCAUCGGUAGAUACAGUAUAUACUAUUCGAGUUCACUUUGCUCGGAAACAGUCUACUCGUUCGGUUGGUUGGCACGCUAUGCCGACAGGCGUAGCCUUCUCGGAGGUUAGAUGCGCGUGAUAAUGCGAUCCACGGCACAUCGUAUCCUCGAAGAAGCUUGGCGAAGAGAGAGGAGGAGGAGGAGGAGGAGGAGAAGGAUGUAGGAAAAGGAAAAGGAAAAGCAGAAGGUAGAGGCGGGAACGGAACGGAACGAAACGGAGCGGAGUUGUGCUCCCGAAGAGGGAGCGAAAGAGUGAGAGAGAGUUGGUAAGGUAUAUACCCUUGUUCGCGAUGGAGUAGUAGGUAGGUAUGUACGGUCGGCAAAGUCCGCUCAGUCGGCACGGAUAGAAUGGCGGGUGUGGUACGUGACUAUGCGCGAUAGAAGGAGAAGGUCGAAAGAAAGGACAGAGGGGCGGCAGAGCGAAGGAUAAGCCGGGUACAUCACGGAAUUGCAACUGAAAGUGGUUCUGGUAUAACUAGCAUCAGGCCUGUAAGCAUGUUCGUGUUUUAAUGGCGGAGGUCCUUGAAAGUACCUUGAGGACAGAAAGAGUUAAUAAGCGUGAAAGGUAUUUGCUUUGCCAGCUAGGUGAAAUGCGAUUAUUUUUCUCGACAGAAGGAGAAGUAUUUUGCGUAUUUCUCACGUCCGGAGGAGGACAAUGAACCAACUUCCAACUUUCUAAGCCUUGUACGCGUGCCGGUACAGAAGGAAGAAAAUGAAUUCACCGGUACAUAAUGAUCGCACACUUGUCCAACCGAGGUGAAGCCCGUGUGCACCAACACGGCGACGUAUGGUAGACAGAUAGAGGGGGAGAGAAAAGAGGAGAGAGAGAGAGAGAAAGAGAGUAAGUACGCGAUGCAAAGCAACGAACGGAACAGCAGAUCUUAUAGCUCCGUUACAACCGGCUAGCUGACCGAUCCCAACGAAUACGGCCGGUACCACACCCGCUCGGGCAUUUCGAGCGGAAUGAUCGAGAGAUAAACUCGUUCGCCCGCCGCUUAAUCGUAUACCGGCGUAACGAGUCUCAGGUUUCCGCGGUAUACAGGAGGAGGAGAAAGGGGAUGAGUUCUUUUUUAAAGCGCUUGUUUUGCGUGGUUUGAGUCCCGGUUCAGAGGGAAAACAUUUGACGAGGGUUGCAAGUAUAUUUGCUUUGGCCAUAAACAUAAAUUGAAAUAAUCAAGAACAGCGGCUGCAUCCGAAUAUUUCUCUGUGACGCGGCGUAAUUUAGUUUCUGACCUGGUUGGAACGGCACAAAAGAGGGAAACGU